UUCCAAGGCACAACAUGGAACACAUCUACAAGAUAGAAUGAGAACAGCUAAAAUAUAAACUAUAAUAAAUUAAUUUAUAUAAAUGUAAAUUUGAAACAAAACUAAACAAUAAAAGACAUUAGCCUAAAAUCCAAACUGGAACCUUCAACUAGUGAUUUGUUCCUCUCACAUUAAUACCGUCACGACCCGGCACUCCCUUCGAGCCCGUGACAACUGCCGCGAAGUCUCGAUAGACAUUCAUUAUCCGAAAUGUCAACCGAAACUUCGCAAGGCUCUUGCAUCAGUUUUUCACUUCCCCUGUGAGCAAUAGUUACUAAAUAUCGAGUUUUAAGAGAAUAUAAACUAUUUUAGAUAAAAAACAUUCAAAAUAAAAUUUUUGCCACAUAAGGGUAUUUUGGUCAUUUUUAUUCAAAUAUUUCGAAACCUGAUAAAAAUACAACAUAUGGUAGAAAGAUAUCCAUUUCCGAUCAAAAAUAAAUUUUUGUAAUCUAAAUCAUCCAUUUGGAGUGAAAAGUUGGCUAAUUAGACUAAAUAAAAAUAUUCGAUAAUAUAUUUCAUUUUCUUAUAAAACAAUUUUUAUAAAACUAUGCAUAAAUCAUUUUUAUAGCGUAAGAACAAAAUAAAUUCAUACACAUAGUGAUACAGUAAACCAAGUAUUCAAAAUUAUAUUACAGUGGCAUAUGGACCCCGAGAUAACCAAAAGUGUGCAAGAAUGUAGACCUACAAUUUUCAAGGAAGUAAGUCCAAAAGAGAUCCUUGAUGAAAUUGACUGCCUACAGACUAUCCUGAAC
rnacentral:lncRNA from 1 species